rnacentral:rRNA from 1 species
GAGACCUGUUGUUCUUGACUGUUCCAGAUCCAAUUCAUCUCACCACACAUCUUCUCUUCCAACUCUAUAGGUAUAUUAAUGUUGUUGCAGUUAAAAAGCUCGUAGUGGAAUUUGUGGUUUGGAUGUGUCCUCCGAGCUUUGCUGGGUUGGAUAUGUCAAGGCCAUCUUUUGGGUGGAAUCUGUGUGGCAUUAGGUUGUCGUGCAGGGGAUGCCCAUCGUUUACUGUGAAAAAAUUAGAGUGUUUCAAACAGGCUUAUGCCGUUGAAUAUAUUAGCAUGGAAUAAUAAGAUAUGAUCUCGGUUCUAUUUUGUUGGUUUGCGUUCUGAGAUAAUGAUGUCUAGGAACAGACGGGGUUUUUUGUAUUUCAUUGUCAGAGGUGAAAUUCUUGGAUUUUUGAAAGACAAACGACUGCGAAAGCAUCAAACAAGCAUGUUUUCUCUCAUCAAGAACGAAAGUUAGGGGAUCGAAGAUGAUUAGAUACCAUCGUAGUCUUAACCAUAAACUAUGCCGACCA